GACGAAUGCUGGCUGCGUGCUUAACACAUGCAAGUCGAACGGUGAACAGGAGCUUGCUCCUGGGAUCAGUGGCGAACGGGUGAGUAACACGUGGGCAACCUGCCCCUCACUCUGGGAUAACUCCGGGAAACCGGGGCUAAUACCGGAUAUGACCUCGAGCGACAUCCCUCGAGGUGGAAAGAAUUUCGGUGAGGGAUGGGCCCGCGGCCUAACAGCUAGUUGGUGGGGUAACGGCCCACCAAGGCGACGACGGGUAGCCGGCCUGAGAGGGCGACCGGCCACACUGGGACUGAGACACGGCCCAGACUCCUACGGGAGGCAGCAGUGGGGAAUAUUGCGCAAUGGGCGAAAGCCUGACGCAGCGACGCAGCGUGAGGGACGACGGCCUUCGGGUUGUAAACCUCUUUCAGCGGGGACGAAGCGAAAGUGACGGUACCCGCAGAAGAAGCACCGGCUAACUACGUGCCAGCCGCCGCGGUAAAAC
rnacentral:rRNA from 1 species